GAGAGGUUUCACGAUGCCUUUCUACAAGCAAUACAAAGGGACCAAAACAAAGCCAACUGGUUUGGUUGGCUAUGUCUUCCACCGGGACUAUGCUAUUUCUCCACACAACGUUGCUUUGUUGGUGCACGAGAACCCCGGCCCCGACACAGCGGUGACUCGGGACUCCUUGACUCAGUUCGAUAACCUAUAUGGAAUUGUCGCUGAUGAAGGUAUCGAUGUAAAGGCUGCAAACUAUAUUUCCUCCACUCUAGCACGGUUCAAAAGUUUGAAUGAGUUAACUCCGACAGAAAUACUGUCUCCUCCGUUGGCUCGUCGUGAGAUUUAAUGACUUCUCCCUCCUGCAUUGUGUGACGUCAUGCUUGUUCAAGGCGUGUUGUCGGAUGCCCCAAUCAUGCUUGUUCAAGACGUGUUGUCUAUAGCCGCAUGUUCGUUCCAAACCUCUUUUACAUGCUUUCAUCUUAGAUAGGUCUUUACUAUUUCAUGUUGUGUCAAUAUGGAAAUAUAUGACCGUUCACCGAAAUCAUGUCUACAACUAUUAUAGCUU